rnacentral:lncRNA from 1 species
AUUUUUUUUUUUUUAUUUGUUGUUUAUUUUGUUUUUCUAUUUUUUAAUUCUCUAUUUUUUAUUUUUCUAUCUGUCUUUUAUUUUUAACUUAUUAUUUGUUUAUUUUUUUUUUUCUCACUUUCGUUUUAACUCUACCAUAUUUCUUUUUAUUUAUAAACUUCAUAUUGGCAUCAUGAAAAUUUUCGAGCAAGAUCAUAUCUACCACUACAACUGGGAAACAGUAACUUCAGCAUUCUGGAAUAAAUAUCCGAACCGUGUUCAAACACACGUAAAAAACAUUGAUGUAAUUGACAGAAAUAUAAAUGUGGAUGAUAAAACUAUGAAAUUAAAAAGAAUUAUGCAUAUACAAUUUUGUAUACCAAAUGUUAUAAAAAAUUUUUUUAAAAUUGGUGAUAUGGGCAUAGUAAUAGAAGAUAUAAAUGUGAAUUUAGAAAAAAAAAAACUUACAAUAACUAGUGUGAAUCAUACCUUUUUCCCUUAUAUUAAAUCAACUGAAAAAUGUACAUAUUACCAGAACGAGGAUAACGAACAUCAAACUUGCUAUAAACAAAAGAUGUUCUUAAAUAUAAAUGGUUUAGGUUUUAUGAAAAAGUUUAUUGAAAAAACUUUAUUAAGCAACAUAAAAGAAAAAAGUAAAGUCGGAAUUUCCAUUAUGAAUGAUACUAUUAAAAGAACACUAAAUGAAAAUAUGCAAAUUAGUAACAGCAAUAUAUUUAAUGAUACAGUAGAAAAGGUUAAAAAGUAAAAAAAAAAAAAAAAAAAUAAAAAAUAAAUAUUAAAAAAAAAAAACA